rnacentral:snoRNA from 1 species
AAGCAGGAUUAACUAUAGUACAGCUGUUAAGGGCUAUGUUGUCAUUCCCCCUGCUCAGAACAAUGCUGUUUCUUUACUAUAUCUGUCUGCUAGACACCUGUAGCAUCCAGGGAUGCUUGAUCUCAUACAU